AACGAACGCUGGCGGCGUGGAUAAGACAUGCAAGUCGAACGGGAUUUUCUUUGGUAGCAAUACCGAAGAAAGUCUAGUGGCGAACGGGUGCGUAACACGUGGGCAAUCUGCCUUAAAGUGGGGGAUAGCUCGGCGAAAGCCGGAUUAAUACCGCAUGUGAUUACCGGAGACAUCUUCGGAACAUCAAAGUCGGGGCAACCUGACGCUUUUUGAGGAGCCCGCGGCCUAUCAGCUAGUUGGUGAGGUAACGGCUCACCAAGGCUUUGACGGGUAGCUGGUCUGAGAGGACGACCAGUCACACUGGAACUGAGACACGGUCCAGACACCUACGGGUGGCAGCAGUCGAGAAUUUUUCUCAAUGGGGGAAACCCUGAAGGAGCGACGCCGCGUGGAGGAUGAAGGUCUUCGGGUUGUAAACUCCUGUCAUUUGGGAACAAUGCUUACGUAUUAACUGUACGUGAGUUGAUAGUACCAGAAGAGGAAGAGACGGCUAACUCUGUGCCAGCCGCCGCAGUAACAC
rnacentral:rRNA from 1 species